rnacentral:ncRNA from 1 species
UCCGGCCGCGCUGUCUACGCGCCCGGGCAGUCUGUACACCAGUCGCCCGUACCGGCACGGGGCGGCACAGAUGAAAAGGA